ACUCCUACGGGAGGCAGCAGUGGGGAAUAUUGCACAAUGGGCGCAAGCCUGAUGCAGCCAUGCCGCGUGUGUGAAGAAGGCCUUCGGGUUGUAAAGCACUUUCAGUCGUGAGGAAGGUAGUGUAGUUAAUAGCUGCAUUAUUUGUACGUUAGCGACAGAAGAAGCACCGGCUAACUCCGUGCCAGCAGCCGCGGUAAGUACGGAGGGUGCGAGCGUUAAUCGGUAAUUACUGGGCGUAAAGCGCAUGCAGGUGGUUUGUUAAGUCAGAUGUGAAAGCCCGGGGCUCAACCUCGGAAUAGCAUUUGAAACUGGCAGACUAGAGUACUGUAGAGGGGGUAGAAUUUCAGGUGUAGCGGUGAAAUGCGUAGAGAUCUGAAGG
rnacentral:rRNA from 1 species